rnacentral:rRNA from 1 species
AUUGAACGCUGGCGGCAGGCCUAACACAUGCAAGUCGAACGAGUGGCGGACGGGUGAGUAAUGUAUGGGAAACUGCCUGAUGGAGGGGGAUAACUACUGGAAACGGUAGCUAAUACCGCAUACCAUCAGAUGUGCCCAGAUGGGAUUAGCUUUUUGGUGGGGUAACGGCUCACCAAGGCGACGAUCCCUAGCUGGUCUGAGAGGAUGACCAGCCACACUGGGAAUGAGACACGGCCCAGACUCCUACGGGAGGCAGCAGUGGGGAAUAUGGCACAAUGGGCGCAAGCCUGAUGCAGCCAUGCCGCGUGUAUGAAGAAGGCCUGCGGGUUGUAAAGUACUUGCAGCGGGGAGGCGUUACCCGCAGAAGAAGCACCGGCUAACUCCGUGCCAGCAGCCGCGGUAAUAC